rnacentral:tRNA from 3 species
GGGGCUGUAGCUCAGUUGGGAGAGCACCUGCUUUGCAAGCAGGGGGUCAGGAGUUCGAGCCUCCUCAGCUCCACCA